GCGGGGAGCGCAACCGCGGCGGCCGCCGGGGCCGAGGCUGUGCAACGCGGCGGGCGGGCCGCAGAGGCCAAGCCGGGGAGCGGGGGUCCCCGCCUCCCCCCUUCGCUGCCGCCCACGGGGCAGGGAGCCAGCGGGCGGGCCUGUUUUGGAAGAGAAGGAUUUGGAAAAGGCAGGAUCUCAGAAGAAGAAAAGACAACUUCUCCUGCUUUUUCAACUCCCAACUGAUUUUUCAACAUUAAAUGAAUUAGUCCAAAUGACGAAAAUAGUCUCUCUGUGCCUGCAGAAGCAGCUACUACUGUCAAAAACUGGUUUAGCACUUCAACAAAUUCUGGUUCCAGGUGCUUAGCCAGUGACUUCCCCCGGUUCAGUUGUUACCAAUGAUUAGGAGAAUUCUUAUUAGGACCCUGACCCCUCCCAUACAGGUUCGCCCCCUUAAAUUAGCUUCUAUCAACUAUGGCAAUCCCCAAAAUCACAUUAAUCGCUGUUAAAGGUCAAAAACAAAUAAGGUUUAUUAUAAAUAAGGCUACAUUUUAGUCUCGCGUAUUUUUAGUAAAAGUCAUGGACAGGUCAUGGGUGAUAAACAAAAAUUCAUGGCCCGUAACCUGUCCAUGACUUGUACUAUAUACCCCUGACUAAAUCUUGACUUCCAUGACAAACUCACAACCUUCAUUAUAAACACUUGGUGGUUUAAAACCCAAAUAGGUUUUAAGCCCAGACACAAACUAAAAGCAUACGUAGGUUAUAAAAGACCACAAGUAAGUUAUUUACUUUACUGAGUCUUGUGGAGGAAUGGAGCCAAACAAAUCUGGAUCCGGAGCCUCAGGAACUCGAACCAAGACCAACAGGAAACCAGGGACCCAGGAACCACAGGAUGACAUGCCACAGCGGAGAUCUCAGGAAAAGGCCCAUCUGUAUCACAGACCUCACUGUUGUGAUGCACAGUGUGCCAAAAGACCAAGAGUGGAACAGCUCACUGAAUCCAUGAAGCACCAAGUGACAUGGAUUAGAAUAGACACCUGAAAGUGACCUUCAUUUACCAUCUUCUCCAACUCAAGACCUCCGUCUUUGAUGCUAUGACAUUCUGGGGUACAGUCCUGACCAGUGAGGUGCUGAGUCAUCCCUGCUGUGCAACAAUGCUUUGCUGAUGUAGCUCCCAACCUGAGCCCCUCACAAACAGCAUGCAGGCCAUACCCUGUGUUUCUGUGUAGCUGCAGCCUGGCAGCACACUCGAGUCUCAUGUUUGUUUCCACCAGUCUUGUUACCACUUGCAAGGUGACCCAACGCACUCCCAGUCCUAAAUUUCCCCCCAAAACUUGUGUUCUGCACUGUCCAGCCCUCUCCUGGACAUUCAGAUAUUUUAGGUUUGUUGUCCUUUAUGGGGCUUAAUGUCCAAGAGUUUGCUACUUUAAUUGGAGUUACCCACACAAUUCAGUUUAAACAGAACACGGGAUUAGUUUUGAUUAAAGAAUAAAACAAGCUUAUUUAACUAUAGGAGAUAUUUUUAGUGAGAACAAGUAUAAGGCAUUAUAGUCAGAAAUGAUUACAGGAGAAAUAAAGAUAAAACGCUUCCUAGUACUGAAACUUAAACUAGACUUUGUUCAAGGUGAAAUCCCCUACCACAUGUUCCCAUUAACACUGCUGACCAAAUUCUCACACCAAGAUUUUGUUCCAAAGUCCAAAGGCUGUUUCUAUUGUCUUGAUGGAAAGAGAGAGAGAUGGACAGGAAGAGAUAAGUUGGGGUGCCUUUGCCCUUCACUUUCACAGUUCAGUCAACCCUUGAAAUGCAUUUUCUGGAAGGUUACCCCUAGAUAAAGUUCCUUCUCACUGUGAGGAGAGAGACAAGGAGUCUAGUGGUGAAAGAAGUUCCAUGCUGUAGUUUGCUAAGAUGCAGAACUGUUUGUUUCUGCCCCCCUUCCUUGUCCAUGAAUGACCUCUUGACAGGAGACUGCCCAUCAACGCUGACGACACCUGGGUAGAGAUGUCAGCUUGUCCUUUCUCUUUGAGAAACUGGCUUACCCAAACUGGUCUGGUAAACAUAUUUCAGACCUAAUUUCAGCUUAUAAUUUUACAUAUAAUGUUGCUAUACACAUUUCAUCAUGGUAUUAUUGACCAGUGAGUUAUUCGUUUUCAAAUGAUACCUCACAAGGCACAUGUUAUACAACGAUUAUUACAAUAGCGUGUAGGGUGCAAAUGGCUGGGGUGCAUUUGGUCACGGAUGCUCCUGACUUCUCUGACCUCUCCAUCCAUGCAGCCACCAUUUACUAUCUCCUCUCCAUCCCAAAAAUUGGAAAAUUCCUCCCAAAAAGCUUUGUUAACUGACAGUUAAGAUAAGACUUAGUUUUAAGGGAAGUAAUUGGGAUGUUCAAUGACUUACCUGCUUAUUUCCUUGCUUUUUAUGGAUUGCAUUCGUGAGACUGAUUUACAGAGAGAUUUGCAUUCUGCAGCUAACUGAAGACCAAUUUAUUCAUGAGCAUUUUUAAACAUUGUAUUAGUAAUAAAAAUUUAACUUGUGAAUGAAACUGAUUAAAAACAUGUAUAGGUUAAUAGCGUCAGCCAUCACCAUGCCAACUCAUUGGCAUAGACUCCAUUUAUUAUACCAUUCCUUGAUGUUUCAAUGAACAUUAUGGCACAAAAAAGUGAUCUUCUGUUUUGGUGUCAUUAGACUAAAAUAUUUUCAAUACAAGAAUGGUUCAGAUUCACUCAACAAUCUUUAUAACUAAAGACAAUACUCCUUAUAGAAAUGCAAUCAAUGUGAACCCAUCAUCAGAUAAGUGUACCUUUUGAGUAAGGCAAUCAGUUAGAAUCCAACGCUGAAAUAGCCCUAUGGUAAGCCAAACUAUGUAUUUAUUCACAUGUGGCAUGUACAGAAGGAAGGAAUAAGGCAAUCUAAAACUUAAAAUUAUUAUAUUUUAAUUGUCAGUCACAAACUGUUCAAUUUAAUAUUUAUGUUAUGCUUUUCACUCCUGCCAUUUAUCAGUUAUAAAAUAGCUAUUUAUUGAGGUGCUCUGAGCACCUCAAAUCACUAAUGGAUUUUAUCCUCACAACAUCCCUUGGAAGUAGGAAAGUAUUAUUCCCAUUUUACAGAUAGCACAUGGUAGAUUAGGUGCCCAAGAUCAUACCAGGAAUUAAAGGCAGGUUUCCUGCUGUCCUAAGCACUAGAUAAGUGGGGGGUUUUUUUGUUUUUUUUUCCCACUGAAUACAUCCAAUGAAGUGAGCUGUAGCUCAUGAAAGCUUAUGCUCAAAUAAAUUUGUUAGUCUCUAAGGUGCCACAAGUCCUCCUUUUCUGUUUUCAAACUGUUGCUCAUGACUUCGGGAGGUGGGGAUGUGUCACAAGAGGUAAUCAGAGGAAUGGCAAGGUCUUGAUAAAAUUAUUAUAAUCAAAAGAAAAGAAAAACUUGCUUCCCCGCUCCCCACAUAUCUUUACUUUUUCAGGUCAAGUAUUCGCUGUCAACCUCUUGAAACACACAAUAAAUUGUAAAAACAUUUAACUUUGAGAGGUACGUUGUCAACUUGAAAAGGAUGACACACACACACACAGGUUCAGAUCUACACUGCAGGCCCAGUUCUGCCACUUUUACUUCUGCUGUUACUUCACUCCAAGAGCAGUCUUAAUGAGUUCAGCUGGACUACUUGUGGGUUAAGGAACUAAUAAAGGCUUGAUUCCAUACUCAUUGGCAUAACACUCAUUGUCUUUAAUGGUGCAGGAUCAAGCCUGUAGUGAAUAAGGGUGGCAGAAUCGGGCCCACUGUGUUCACAGAUCGAUAGCAUUCCUAAUAUUCAUGCAUAUUUUGGCUAUGUUUUCAGUUUGGACAUUUUUCAUCAGCUUAAUUUAUGGCUGUCCUAUGAUUUUCUGAUAGCUGGUAUAGUUACCUCAGUCUUGACACAAAAAUACCAUGUUUAAUGGUAGAUUUAAGAACACUGUGUUCUAAUGCCUGAAAUAUAGGUUACUAAUGCGCAGAAAUCAAAACCUAUUAUUCAAAUGCCUAGUUCAACUGGUUAAUUAUUGAAGUUCUUGGUAGAAAUAGUUGACUGCUCUAGGGCAGGAGAAUAGCUAUUUUUUAUCAGCAGCAGUUGAGGCACAGUUUCUUUUGUGAGAUACAACAAGGUCAAACAUCUGGAGUACUGCAGGAGUUGGAGAGAGAAUUUCAAAGUUCCUUUGUUUGAAAGCUCUUAUCUCCAAAAAGAGCCUUGUGCAAAUCAUGAAGUUGAAUUAAUUGUUUUGUGGGCAGAAGGUGGUGAUUUCCACCAAUUGUUACAGAUAAAGAAAACGCUCAUUAAAAAUUAAAAUACUAUUUUUAAAUUAAGAUUUUAGCUCUUUAAAAAAACUGAUUAGAUUUCAAAUUGAUGUCUCUUAAAACACAUUUCACAGACAAGAAAUACCAUAUUCUUACUUUGUAAUAUAUGGAGAGAGAGAGAGAGAGAGAGAGAGAGAGAGAGCAUGCACACACACUUGUGAAUAUUAUUGGAUUGAGAGCCCUGGAGACUAAAGCCCUCUAUAUUCCAAAACAGAUACAGCAGAGAUGAGACCACUAGUUUAAGGGUCCCUAACAGUAUGCCUCUAAUCUGACCUGGAGACUAUCGCACAUUCUAAGUCUUCAAUUUCAUUUAGAAUACUGCCUAAGCAACUGGGACACCCAUGCCCCUGGAUUGUUUCCAAAAGACAUUUCCCCACCACUACUAUUGCAGUAUCAGUCUUUAGGGUAGACUGAUAGUGGAAAUGCAAAAAUAUACUGAUUUAUCUACCCAAGUACUUAUGUGACCCCUAUUACUUCAAUACCUGAGUGUGCCUCAAAAUAUUAAAUGCAUUGAUCCUCACAAAAUCCCUGUGAGGUAGGGGAAGAGCUGUUAUUCCUCUUUCUACAGAUGAGGAAUGAGGCACAGUGAGGCUAAGGGACUUGCCAAACGUCACCCAGGAAGUCUAUGGCAGUGAAUUGAAGCCAGGUCUCCCAAGUCCUAGGUUAGUUCCCCCUGGACCAUCCUGCCUCUGAUAACUCAAAGCUGUACCAAUAGAACGCUAAAGUGCCAUUUCAACAUCUCUUACGGCAGAUACAGACUUUUUAUUAAAAAGAAAAGGAGUACCGGUGGCACCUUAGAGACUAACAAAUUUAUUAGAGCAUAAGCUUUCGUGAGCUACAGCUCACUUCAUCGGAUGCAUUACUUUUUAUUAAGUCUACAAGGGAUUAUUAUAACCAACUGCAGAAUACAGGCCACAUUUGAUGGUAGUUAAUCAUAUGCACAGUGAAUUCAACUGUGAUGUAUAUUUCCUAUGUUUUAUUUGGACUUCUAAAUAUGUUUUUGAUCUAGAAUGGGAACUUUCAUGAUAAAGUUAAAUGAGAACAUUUUUCUAAUACCUGAUACAUUUAAUAAAAUUUGACACACUUAAAUAUUAAUGAUGAAAAGAAUAUUUUUACAAUAAAGAAAUGUCCUGGCCAUUUGUUUUCUGAAUUCACUGUGUGUG